rnacentral:misc_RNA from 1 species
UACGUAGGUGUCGAGCGUUAUCCGGAAUUACUGGGCGUAAAGGGCACGCAGGCGGCCCUUCAAGUCUGACGUGAAAGCUCCCGGCUUAACUGGGAGAGGUCGUUGGAAACUGAAGGGCUUGAGGCAGUGAGAGGGAGGCGGAAUUCCCGGUGUAGUGGUGGAAUGCGUAGAUAUCGGGAAGAACACCAAUGGCGAAGGCAGCCUCCUGGCACUGACCUGACGCUCAUGUGCGAAAGCGUGGGUAGCGAACGGG